rnacentral:rRNA from 1 species
GAGCUCUCAAUCUGUCAAUCCUUUCAGUGUCCGGGCCGGGUGAGUUUUCCCGUGUUGAGUCAAAUUAAGCCGCAGGCUCCACUCCUGGUGGUGCCCUUCCGUCAAUUCCUUUAAGUUUCAGCUUUGCAACCAUACUUCCCCCGGAACCCAAAGACUUUGGUUUCCCGGGGACUGCUCGCCGAGUCAUUGAAGCAACUCCGGCGGAUCGCCAGUUGGCAUCGUUUAUGGUCAGAACUACGACGGUAUCUGAUCGUCUUCGAACCUCUGACUUUCGUUCUUGACUAAUGAAAACAUUCUUGGCAAAUGCUUUCGCAGUAGUCCGUCUUGCGAUGAUCCAAGAAUUUCACCUCUAACACCGCAAUACGAAUGCCCCCGUCUGUCCCUCUUAAUCAUUACCUCGCGUUCCGAAAACCAACGCAAUAGAACCGAGGUCCUCUUCCAUUAUUCCAUGCAACAUCAUUCAGGCGCGUGGCCUGCUUUGAACACUCUAAUUUUUUCAAAGUAAACGUUCCGGUUACCCGAGACACUCAGCGAAGAGCACCAAGGGAAGCCCGGCGGUUGGGUCGGGAUCAAGCAGUGACCGCCGCGAGGCGGACCGCAGCCCGGACCUGGGAUCCAACUACGAGCUUUUUAACUGCAGCAACUUUAAUAUACGCUAUUGGAGCUGGAAU